rnacentral:rRNA from 1 species
GACGAACGCUGGCGGCGUGCUUAACACAUGCAAGUCGAACGAGGUCCACCGCGUAGCAAUACAAGGGAAGACCUAGUGGCGAACGGGUGCGUAACACGUGAGGUAACUUGUCCCGGUCUCUGGGAUAACAGUUGGAAACGACUGCUAAUACCAGAUGACGUCGGAAUCUCGCAUGGGGUACUGACGAAAGGGUUACUGGAUCGGGAGAGCCUCGCGGCCUAUCAGCUUGUUGGUGAGGUAACGGCUCACCAAGGCGACGAUCCUUAGCUGGUCUGAGAGGAUGAUCAGCCACACUGGGACUGAGACACGGCCCAGACUCCUACGGGAGGCAGCAGUGGGGAAUAUUGGACAAUGGGCGAAAGCCUGAUCCAGCAAUGCCGCGUGAGGGAAGAAGGUCCUCUGGAUUGUAACCUCUUUUGGCAGGAAACAAACCUGCGCUAUACGCGCAGC